rnacentral:rRNA from 1 species
GACGAACGCUGGCGGCGUGCUUAACACAUGCAAGUCGAACGGUGAAAGCGGAGCUUGCUCCGCUGGAUCAGUGGCGAACGGGUGAGUAACACGUGGGCAACCUGCCCCUCACUUCGGGAUAACUCCGGGAAACCGGGGCUAAUACCGGAUAUGACCUCCUUGGGCAUCCUUGGAGGUGGAAAGUUUUUCGGUGAGGGAUGGGCCCGCGGCCUAUCAGCUUGUUGGUGAGGUAGUGGCUCACCAAGGGGACGACGGGUAGCCGGCCUGAGAGGGCGACCGGCCACACGGGGACAGGGACACGGCCCAGACUCCUACGGGAGGCAGCAGUGGGGAAUAGUGCGCAAUGGGCGAAAGCCUGACGCAGCAACGCCGCGUGCGGGAUGACGGCCUUCGGGUUGUAAACCGCUUUCAGCAGGGAAGAAGCCGCAAGGUGACGGUACCUGCAGAAGAAGCACCGGCUAACUACGUGCCAGCCGCCGCCGUAA